UGCUUGCUGGUCUAGUGGUAUGAUUCUCGCUUUGGGUGCGAGAGGUCGCGGGUUCGAUUCCCGUGCAAGCCC
rnacentral:tRNA from 1 species